CAGCCGCCGCGGUAAUACGUAGGGUGCAAGCGUUAAUCGGAAUUACUGGGCGUAAAGCGUGCGCAGGCGGUUAUAUAAGACAGUCGUGAAAUCCCCGGGCUCAACCUGGGAACUGCGAUUGUGACUGUAUGGCUAGAGUGUGUCAGAGGGGGGUAGAAUUCCACGUGUAGCAGUGAAAUGCGUAGAUAUGUGGAGGAAUACCGAUGGCGAAGGCAGCCCCCUGGGAUAACACUGACGCUCAUGCACGAAAGCGUGGGGAGCAAACAGGAUUAGAGACCCCUGUAGUCCCUGUCUCUUAUAA
rnacentral:rRNA from 1 species